rnacentral:ncRNA from 2 species
AAAUUCCAGCGGAAUUCUGAUUCCGCCGGGACUGAAAAGGGAAAGUGGUGUGAAUCCACUGCAGCCCCCGCUUCUGUGAUGCUGAUGAACCCUGCGCUCUUGCAACCCACUGGGGUGAGGCCCUGGGAAGGGGCAGGUAGUAAGAUGAAGCGAAGCCAGAAGACCUGCCUGAUACGCUGUUAAUAC